UUCAAGUAAUUCUCCUGCCUCAGCCUCCCAAGUAGCUGGGAUUACAGGCACCCACCAUCAGGACCGGCUAAUUUUUGUAUUUUUGUAGAGAUGGGUUUUCACCAUGUUGGCCAGGCUGGUCUUGAACUCCUGACCUCAGAUGAUCCUCCCUCCUCCGCCUCCCAAAGUGCCAGGAUUACAGGCAUGAGCCACCACACCCAGCCAUAGACACACCAUUUCUAAAGGCAAGUGGAUACUGUAGGGUAAAAACCAUUUAAGUGUAUGCAAUAUCUUUUUAAAAAAUAAACAUCAUUUUUAAGAAUAAUUUUAGAUUUACAGAAAAAUUGCAGAUAGUAUAGAGAGUUCCCACUGGGAUACAGUGGUACAGUCACAGCUCACAUCUCACUUAGUUUCUGCUAUUCUUAAUGUGUUACAUCAGUAUCACACAUUGGUUACAAUUAAUGACUCAACAUUGAUAUAUUGUUAUUAACUAAUGUCCAUACUUGCUUUGUAUUUCCUUAGGUUUUACCUGAUUUUUUUUUUUUCUGUUGCAGGGCUUAUCCAGGAUGCCACAAGACAUUAGUUGUUGUGUCUCCUUAGGCUCUCUCCCACCUUUUUUUUUUUUUUUUUUUUUUUUUUUGAGACGGAGUUUUGCUCUUGUUGCCCAGGCUAUGGGGCAAUGGCGCAAUCUCGGCUCACCACAACCUCUGCCUCCUGGGUUCAAGCGAUUCUCCUGACUCAGUCUCCUGAGUAGCUGUGAUUACAGGCAUGUGAGACCACGCCUGGCUAAUUUUGUAUUUUUAGUAGUGACGAAGUUUCACCAUAUUGGUCAGGCUUGUCUUGAACUCCCGACCUUAGGUGAUCCGCCUGCCUUGGCCUCCCAAAGUGCUGGUAUUACAGGCGUGAGCCACCAUGCCCGGCCCCCUCAGGCCCCUUUUAACUAUGAUGGUUUCUCAGACUUUAUUUGUUGCUUUUUGUUUGUUUGCUUUGUUUUGAGUUUUUUUUUUUUUUUUUUGAGACAAAGUCUUGCUCUGUCUCCUAGUCUGGGGUACAGUGGUGCAGUCACAGCUCACUGCAGCCUCAUCCUCCCAGGCUCAGGUGAUCCUCCCACCUCAGCCUCCCAGCUAAUUUUUUUUUUCAAACUUCGUAUGGGUUCUCACUAUAUUUUUGACAACCUUGAUUGACAGUUUUGAAGAGUACUGGUCAGGUAUUUUGUAGAAUGUUUCUCCAUUGGGAUUUGUCUGAUGUUUUCCUUUUUUCUUUUCUUUCUUUUUUUUUUUUUUUUUUUUUGAGAUGGAGUUUCGCUCUUGUUGCCCAGGCUGGAGUGCAAUGGCGUGAUCUUGGCUCACUGCAACUACCUCCCGAGUUCAAGCAGUUCUCCUGCCUUAGCCUCCCAAGUAGCUGAGAUUACAGGCUCAUGCCACCACCCCCAGCUAAUGUUUGUAUUUUUAGUAGAGACAGGGUUUCACCAUGUUGAUCAGGCUGCUCUUGAACUCCUGGCCUCGUGAUCUGCCUGCCUCGGCCUCCCAAAGUGCUAGGAUUACAGGCAUGAGCCACGGCACCCGGCAAAAUUAAAUUUCCAAGCGAAUCCUCCCUAGCACUUCCAAUAAAUACUGUUGAAGGACAAGCUGGGGUCCCUUGGAGGUAGAGGCCACAUGAAACUUUUAUUCAUCUGCUCACUCAUUCAUUCAGUAAAUGUGAACUGCACCUCUGUGCGAGACCAGCUGUUGCA
rnacentral:lncRNA from 10 species